GCCGUUGUAGUAUAGUGGUUAGUACUUCUCGUUGUGGUCAUCAAUGAAGAUCCGAGAGGACCCAUGUUCGAUUCAUGGCAACGGCA